GUGUUUAUUUGUAGAUGCCUUACUCCGUGAGGAAUGGUAUUCCAUGUAAACAGUGUCAUCUGCUCCAGACAUCGAGCUCAUUGUGCCUGUUCGACGGGACACCUGCAGCUUUCCUUUUUCCUUUGGAAGUUUUCCCAUCACUAAGCUUUACUGACCCAGAAGAUGCUUCAUAUAUUCAUUCACUGGAUACUAUGAUCCAAGGCCCAGAGCCCAACCACCAUCUCCUUUACCUUUUUUGGCUCUCAGCACUCGUCCCAGCCUUUGAGCCUCCUGCCUUCGUGACCCACCAUGGGAUGAAAUCUGGAUGAGAACAUUGGCUUCUGGCAGAUCGAAGGACGUGUCACCCACCUACAACAGAGCAACAGCCUCUAAGAAAGAUCUUAAUUCCACAUAUCACCAACAAACAAUAAAUACAAAGCACACCUUUCUUUGUGAGCUGCAAUAUGAAGAUGUCAAAUGCACACCAUGCAUGUGUAACUUAAAUAAAGCUGACUCUGAAAACAGGUA